GGGUCAGGCCAAACCUUAAAAUAUUACACUUUAAAUUCAUCAAAACAAAGCCUUUUUUCCUAUUUUUCUCUCUUUUUUCGAAAAAGUAGUGUUUACCAGCCAAAAAUUGCACAUUCUUCUAGGGUUUGUCGAAAUUCUUAACGAUCAACACUCUGUAUAGCUAUAAAUGGCAAAAAAAAUUAUUUUUGUGUGGAAAUUUAACAACGAGUCAGUCUAUACGGUUCAACAUUGCUUCUAUUUAUAGGUUUGAAGAGUCAAAGAAAAUUCUUCUCCAUAAUUCACUUCACGCAAUAACCAGGUUGUCGUGUGUUGCUCCAUUUGCUGGUUGAAUCUGAGGGUGACAAUAAAGUUGGCUUGUUUGCAGCCUGCCAAAGUUGUUGGCAAAUGGAAUGUAAUAAAGAUGAAGCUGUUAAGGCUAAAGAAAUUGCUGAGCAGAAAUUAACUGAGAAGGACAUUGCUGGAGCUCUAAAAUUUGCUUUGAAGGCUCGAAAUCUGUUUCCAGGCCUUGAUGGUCUUUCUCAGUUCCUGGAGGUGAUAAAUGUUUAUGUUGCUCAUGAGAAGAAGAUUAAUGGUGAAGUGGAUUUUUACGGUAUCCUUUCUGUAGAACCCUCAGCUGAUGACGAAACAAUAAGGAAACAUUACAGAAGGCUUGCUCUAGCUCUUCACCCUGAUAAAAAUCAAUCUGUUGGGGCAGAUGGGGCGUUUAAAAUGAUAUCUGAAGCUUGGAGUUUGUUGUCUGAUAGAACCAAAAAAAUGAUAUAUGACAACAGGCGUGCUAUGAGGAAUGCCACACCGGUGGCUCCCCAGCCACCAAAACCUGAGACAUUCUGGACAUUUUGCAAUCGAUGCCAGAUAAAGUAUGAAUACUUAAAGCUUUACCAAAACAAAAGUCUUAUGUGCCCCAACUGUCGCCGGCCUUUUUUGGCAAGGGAAGUUGCUGCUCCCAUGACCAAUCAAGCUUCAGCUUUUCCGUCGUCUUCCCGCCAGCAGCAGCAGGGUACAAACUAUCCUGCUGCUAAUGGUUCUUCUGCUUCAGGUGUGAAGCUCCCUACAGCUCCAAAUUCUGGAUUUGGCUCAACCGUUAGAGCAAACAUUCAGCAGGAUCAAGCUUUUAAGAUGAAAGGUGCAAAUGGGGCGCAGCCUUAUGCCCCUACAGCUAGGCAAGCUGCACACCACGGUCAGCCAGCUGGUGGGAAUUUGAAGCGAGCUCAUGCAGAAGCAGCUAUGAGUGCACGGAAUCAGGAGGCUCUUCUGAAGAAAAAGAGACGCAUAGAUGACUUGAAGUCAAAGUUUCAAAGAAAAGGAAUGGGAAGUAGCCAAGGAAAUGAAUUGGCUAAGAGUUCAAGGGAGUUAUCCAAUUCAGAAAUUCGCAAUAUGCUGGAGAAAAAGGCUAGGAUGGAGAUCACCAAGAAGCUUAAAGAAUGGAGCGCAGCUGCUGCUUCUCGAACUUCAUAUAAGGAGAAAAAGGACAUGGAAAAAAAGAAGCAAACUGCUCCUGAAGUUAUCACAAAUGAUCCGAGAAGGGAUAAAACUGCUAAUGAUGCAGUGCUGGAUUCCAAAAUAUUAUCCGAGCAGAAAGAGACUAUUGUUGAAGUUAAGUCAAUGACUGUUCCUGAUCCUGACUUCCAUAAUUUUGACAAGGAUCGAACGGAAAAAUCUUUUGAGGGUAAUCAAGUCUGGGCUGCUUAUGAUGAUGAUGAUGGCAUGCCGCGCUAUUAUGCUCUAAUUCACAAUGUGCUUUCUAAAAAGCCAUUUAAAGUGGAAUUCAGCUGGCUGAACUCCAAAACUAACUCUGAACUCGGCUCAAUGAAUUGGGUGGGUUCUGGCUUCCUCAAGACCAGUGGAGAUUUCAGAAUUGGCAAGCAUGAAACCAAUAAGACGCUCAAUUCUUUCUCCCACAAGGUCAAGUGGGUGAAAGGGGCUAGAGGUGUUAUCCAAAUUUUCCCCAGAAAGGGGGAUGUUUGGGCUCUGUACAGGCAUUGGUCUCCUAAAUGGAAUGAGCUAACUCCGGAUGAUGUGAUACAAAACUAUGAUAUGGUGGAAGUACUUGGAGACUACUCUGAGAAGGAAGGUGUCACAGUUGCUCCAUUAGUCAAAGUAGCUGGCUUCACAUCAGUGUUCCGUCAAUGUUUGGACCCUAAAUAUAUUCGCCAUAUUCCAAGGGAAGAGAUGUUUCGCUUCUCUCAUCAGGUACCUUCAUAUUUUCUCACAGGCCAAGAAGCUCCAAAUGCUCCCACUGGUUGCUGGGAGCUGGAUCCUGCAGCCCUGCCCUUUGAACUUCUUAGAGUCAUGACAGAUGCUCAACUAGAGGCUCAGAGAAAAGCUGCAGAUCCUUCGGACUCAGAAAGGACAUGUGAUGAAAGCAAAGAGAAAGAGAAGUCCUGUGUGAUUGGUGACAGCAAUGUGACAAAGCCCAUAGUAACAUAUUCAAGAAAGAAGAAGGCGAAAGCAAGUACAGUUGAACCCAAGAGAGAAACAAGCUCAGUUGCUGCUUGAUGAUCAAUGGCUUUUAUGGGUUAUGUGGUGCUAUUUUUGUGAAGUGAACUACAGGGACUUCAAAUCAAUUUCAGCACACAGAGGGUUGAACUCUUUGUCUUGGUAUGGCAACUUUGCAUGAUGAAUUUAGUCAGACGCCUUCAGCUAUGGAGCCUAAGCAUCUUACCUCAACUGAGGGAAAUUCAGGGACACCUCCUACCAUUUCUGUUACGGGAGUUAAAGUCCUCCCUUCCGGUAAAACUUUAAGUUCCUCAGACUCAUUCCUGCAGUUCAUCACCUCACUCGACACUGAAUGACCCCUUUGGCAAGGCUGAUUAUGAAUCUGAUUAUUACACUGCUAAUGCUUAUAACUUACCCAAACUUGAUAACGAUAAAAAAUCACGGUUCUCAGACAACAAAAACCCUAUUUCUGGGAGCUCUACCAUGAAAUGAACCUUUAAACCAUGAAGUGUCACCCUCCAUAUCACAGUCAGAAGCGACUCCGUAUUCUUCCAAGUCAACUCUGGCAAUUCGUCAACCACAGAAUCACCUCCCGUGCAAGUAAUGGACAACUCUGCAAACAAAUCUUACAGGAUCCCUUCUUCAGUGUUUGCUAGAGAUGAGUCUGCAAACCCAGCAGAGAGGAGUGUAACUUCUCAUGAAUCAUUAUUUAGCAUUCACAUGGGAACUAUAACCAAAGAUGCUAGUUUUUGGCAGUCGGGUGAGCCAGGAACUCCUCAAGACUUUUCUGAAUCCCCUAUGUGUGACAUCUCUCCUUACCAGUCAAAGUCAUGAGAUGGAAAUAGCUGAAGUAGAGGUCUCAAGGGGAAAUGAUGAUCUAAAUCAUGAAAGACCUCUUGCUGAGAGACGUAUUCUCAUAGCUCAAUGAAAAGUGGAACCAGUACAAUGUCUUUUGCAUUUCCAGUGUAGGCAGUCUACACUCAAACUCUCAUAUGAUACAUUGGCAACAUUUUGUCCUUACUGUUCAUUUAGAAUGUGGACAAUUAUUUCCAGUGGGAAUGUUAAUUAGUUAUUUCUAUCUUUCUGUGCAUACAAGUAUAGUGGGACAUCUACAUUUUGACACCAAAAACUAAUGAUAAGAUGUUCCAAAAAUUAUU